rnacentral:rRNA from 1 species
AAGAAGGCUUCGGGUGUAAGCACUUCAUCGGGAGGAAGGCGGGAGAUUAUCUCUCAUCGAAUGCGUUCCGCAGAAGAAGCGGCGGCUAACUCGUGUCAGCAGCGCGGUAAUACGGAGGGUGCAAGCGGUAAUCGGAAUGACUGGGCGUAAAGCGCACGCAGGCGGGUUUUUAAGUCAGAUGUGAAAUCCCGAGCUUAACUUGGGAACUGCAUUGAAACUGGCAAGCUAGAGUCUUGUAGAGGGGGGUAGAAUUUCAGGUGUAGCGGUGACACGCGUAGAGAUCUGGAGGAAUAGCGGUGGCGAAGGCGGCCCCCUGGACAAAAACAGACGCUCAGGUGCGAAAGCGUGGGGAGCAAACAGGAUUAGAUACCCUGGUAGUCCACGCUGUAAACGAUGUCGAUUUGGAGGUUGUGCCCUUGAGGCGUGGCUUCCGGAGCUAACGCGUUAAAUCGACCGCCUGGGGAGUACGGCCGCAAGGUUAAAACUCAAAUGAAUUGACGGGGGCCCGCACAAGCGGUGGAGCAUGUGGUUUAAUUCGAUGCAACGCGAAGAACCUUACCUACUCUUGACAUCCACAGAAUUCGGCAGAGAUACCGUAGUGCCUUCGGGAACUGUGUGCCAGGUCGAUCA